CCUACGGGAGGCUGCAGUGGGGGAUAUUGCACAAUGGGGGAAACCCUGAUGCAGCGACGCCGCGUGUGGGAAGACGGUCCUCUGGAUUGUAAACCACUGUCCCCAGGGACGAAGAUGACGGUACCUGGGGAGGAAGCCCCGGCGAACUACGUGCCAGCAGCCGCGGUAAUACGUAGGGAGCGAGCGUUGUCCGGAAUUACUGGGUGAAAAGGGAGCGUAGGCGGGACUGCAAGUUGGGUGUCAAAUCUACCGGCUCAACCGGUAGCCGCACUCAAAACUGCAGUUCUUGAGUGAAGUAGAGGCAGGCGGAAUUCCUAGUGUAGCGGUGAAAUGCGUAGAUAUUAGGAGGAACACCAGUGGCGAAGGCGGCCUGCUGGGCUUUUACUGACGCUGAGGCUCGAAAGUGUGGGGAGCAAACAGGAUUAGAUACCCGAGUAGUC
rnacentral:rRNA from 1 species